AUGUUCUGCUCAUUGAACAACAACAGGACACUGAGGUCAGAGGAGAGAAAAUGGCAAGAAUACAUAUGCUGCUGUCCCAUCCUGUCUGAAGACACCGGUCUCUGUCUACAGUUCCAGCCUACUGACCUCCAGUGCAAUAAGCCCUGCAAACCUUUUAUUUUGCCGAUGGAAAGUGAGGUUGCCAAUCCCGAAUAAUUCAUAUAGUCCGCUUCAGAGACUUCUGAAGACAAAAUUUUUGUUUGUUUUUGUAUUAGCAUGUCACAGUUCUUAAUUUAUGAGAAUAGCUCUCACUGGUGCUUAAUUACUCCUGGUCAUUCAAUACUAUUUCCCACUGUCUUCCUUGUUUUUGCUACUCAUUUGUAAAAAGCAGAAAAGCAAGAUUUUUUUUAUAGCCUCUGAGUAUACUUGUUCCCCAGUCUUCACUGUUUGCCACUGAUUGCACUUGGCUGCAUGUGAUGUGAGGUGAGAAUGAGGUGUAUCCUCAGUUAAAGAAAAGAAGGUAGGAGCUUGGAAUAUUAGGCAAUAAAAGAGGUUUUUCAAUUUUCA
rnacentral:lncRNA from 1 species